rnacentral:rRNA from 2 species
CGGGCGUUAAGUUGCAGGGUAUAGACCCGAAACCCGGUGAUCUAGCCAUGGGCAGGUUGAAGGUUGGGUAACACUAACUGGAGGACCGAACCGACUAAUGUUGAAAAAUUAGCGGAUGACCUGUGGCUGGGGGUGAAAGGCCAAUCAAACCGGGAGAUAGCUGGUUCUCCCCGAAAGCUAUUUAGGUAGCGCCUCGUGAAUUCAUCUCCGGGGGUAGAGCACUGUUUCGGCUAGGGGGCCAUCCCGGCUUACCAACCCGAUGCAAACUGCGAAUACCGGAGAAUGUUAUCACGGGAGACACACGGCGGGUGCUAACGUCCGUCGUGAAGAGGGAAACAACCCAGACCGCCAGCUAAGGUCCCAAAGUCAUGGUUAAGUGGGAAACGAUGUGGGAAGGCCCAGACAGCCAGGAUGUUGGCUUAGAAGCAGCCAUCAUUUAAAGAAAGCGUAAUAGCUCACUGGUCGAGUCGGCCUGCGCGGAAGAUGUAACGGGGCUAAACCAUGCACCGAAGCUGCGGCAGCGACGCUGAUGCGUUGUUGGGUAGGGGAGCGUUCUGUAAGCCUGUGAAGGUGGCCUGUGAGGGUUGCUGGAGGUAUCAGAAGUGCGAAUGCUGACAUAAGUAACGAUAAAGCGGGUGAAAAGCCCGCUCGCCGGAAGACCAAGGGUUCCUGUCCAACGUUAAUCGGGGCAGGGUGAGUCGACCCCUAAGGCGAGGCCGAAAGGCGUAGUCGAUGGGAAACGGGUUAAUAUUCCCGUACUUGGUGUUACUGCGAAGGGGGGACGGAGAAGGCUAUGUUGGCCGGGCGACGGUUGUCCCGGUUUAAGCGUGUAGGUGUGUGUUCCAGGUAAAUCCGGUUCACUUUAACACUGAGGCGUGAUGACGAGGCACUACGGUGCUGAAGCAACAAAUGCCCUGCUUCCAGGAAAAGCCUCUAAGCAUCAGGUAACAUCAAAUCGUACCCCAAACCGACACAGGUGGUCAGGUAGAGAAUACCAAGGCGCUUGAGAGAACUCGGGUGAAGGAACUAGGCAAAAUGGUGCCGUAACU